ACGGAAGGCAGCAGUGGGGGAUAUUGCACAAUGGGGGAAACCCUGAUGCAGCGACGCCGCGUGAGUGAAGAAGUAUUUCGGUAUGUAAAGCUCUAUCAGCAGGAAAGAUAAUGACGGUACCUGACUAAGAAGCACCGGCUAAAUACGUGCCAGCAGCCGCGGUAAUACGUAUGGUGCAAGCGUUAUCCGGAUUUACUGGGUGUAAAGGGAGCGCAGACGGCAUGGCAAGCCAGAUGUGAAAGGCAGGGGCUCAACUCCUGGACUGCAUUUGGAACUGUCAAGCUAGAGUAUCGAAGAGGUAAGUGGAAUUCCUAGUGUAGCGGUGAAAUGCGUAGAUAUUAGGAGGAACACCAGUGGCGAAGGCGGCUUACUGGACGAUAACUGACGUUGAGGCUCGAAAGCGUGGGGAGCAAACAGGAUUAGAUACCCUGGUA
rnacentral:rRNA from 1 species